rnacentral:lncRNA from 1 species
UGGUAGCGACAUCGCCGGCCACACACCCACAGGGAGGACGUCCCCUGGAGACCCCAGUAGCCCACAGUCACCAAAACAGACAGAACCAUUGACACCCAGAAGAACCAGUCCGCUGAUUGCCUGCACCUGUAGGGCCCAAACGGGGUCAGAGCAAGAAUCUCAGUGUCCGGAAAAGCAGCAGAAGAUGGCUUCCUGCCACCUACACGGGAGACCCGGAUGGAGUUGCUGGUUCCUGGCUUCAGCCUGGCCCAGCCCCAGCCAUUGUGGCCAUUUAGGGAGUGAACCAGAGGAAUGAAAAAGUCUGUGUGUGUGUAUAUGUGUGUGUCACUCUGCCAUUCAAAUAAAUAAAACUUUAGGAAUGAACUCCAACGCCUCCAAUCCUGGGGGCCUGAGCUACCCCCCUGGGGAGCUCCUUGCUCUGGGGGAGGUGCCAGCAGCUGUCACUCAAGGCCCCGGUGAUCUAGUUCAUGGAAAGCGGGGGGGGGGGGGGUAGGGGGUUUAAAAAGAUAAGUGUGUGUUUCCGUGUCAACCCAGAAAGCAGGAUCUUGAGAAUGAAGAAGUGUGUUGGAGCCAGGUGAUGGUGGCUUCUUGGAAGCACCUGCUGUGCUCUGAGCAGGCUGAAUGGCUGCACGAAGGAGGGAAAGGGGAGGCUGCUAUAAAUGUGGCAACAAUGCGUUGAUCAAGAACAGCGCACGCCACUGCCUCGCUGGUGCUGGCUGCUAUGUCCACGCUGCACAUUCCAGGCGCGUCGCCAUCGGCAAGAAUGUGGUUUACUUGAUUGAGAUGCUGCCCAGUGGCGUCAGCUAGUCGGCAUGGAUUAGCCAAUACGCCAGGGUCUCGCAUGCCUGGGCUCUGGAUUUUGAGUUGAGCCUCCGUGUUAUCUGGGCUAAAAUCCCUCUUUCUCGGUUACAAAAUAGAUUGACGUCUACACCUGGCUUGUUGCAUCGCGUGUGUUUUCGUGACCUUCUCGAAGUUUCCUCUGCUGUUCAGAAGCUGGUUUUUGCAGCAAGCACCCUGCAUCCUGGCUCCUCCGUGGGGCUGCUGCUGCCUGAGACACUGGCAUCCCAUAUGGGACCGGUUGGAGUCUUGGCUGCUCCAUUUCUGAUCCAGCUCUCUCCUGUGGCCUGGGAAAGCAGUGGAGGAUGGCCCAAGUCCUUGGGCCCCAGCACCCGUGUGGGAGACCUGGAAGAAGCUCCUGGCUCCUGGCUUUGGAUCAGCGCAGCUCUGGCCGUUGUGGCCAUCUGGGGAGUGAACCAGCGGAUAGAAGACCUGUCUCUUUCUCUCUGCCUCUCUGUAACUU